CUCGGAUAGCUCAAUGGCAGAGCAAGCGCGCGAUGUCGGUUCAACUCCGGCUCCGGGGCA
rnacentral:tRNA from 1 species